rnacentral:rRNA from 1 species
GACAACUCUCAACAACGGAUAUCUUGGCUCCCGUAACGAUGAAGAACGCAGCGAAAUGCGAUACGUAGUGUGAAUUGCAGAAUUCCGUGAACCAUCGAAUCUUUGAACGCAAAUUGCGCUCGAGGCCUCGGCCAAAGCAUGUCUGCCUCAGCGUCGGCU